rnacentral:rRNA from 1 species
GUCUCUUGAUUGGAGGCUGGUAUGAAUGGUUUAAUGAAAAAUAUACUUUCUUUAUUUUAUAUAAAAAAAUUAAUUUUUUAGUUAAAAAGCUAAGAUGUUUUUAUAGGACGAGAAGACCCUAUAGAACUUUACUGUUAUAUUAUAUAUAUUUUAUAUAUUUUUAUAAAUAUAUAUUUUUAUAUCAGUUUUGUUGGGGUGAUGGAAAAAAAAUAAUAACUUUUUCUAAUUGUUACAUAUAUAUAUGUUUUUUUGAUCCUUUUUUUAGGAAAAUAAGAUUAAGUUACCUUAGGGAUAACAGCGUUAUUUUUUCGGAGAGUUCAUAUUAAUGAAAGAGUUUGCGACCUCGAUGUUGGAUUAAAAUAAGUUUCAGGGGUAUAAUAUUGUUAACUAAGUCUGUUCGACUUUUAAAUUUUUACA